rnacentral:tRNA from 1 species
GAAAAAUUAGUUAAUAAAAUAAUAUUAAUUUGUCAAAUUAAAGUAACUUAUGUAUUUUUCU